rnacentral:rRNA from 1 species
GUAGGCCUACGGGGCGCAGCAGUGGGGAAUAUUGCACAAUGGGGGAAACCCUGAUGCAGCGAUGCCGCGUGGAGGAAGAAGGUUUUCGGAUUGUAAACUCCUUUUAUCAGGGACGAUAAUGACGGUACCUGAAGAAAAAGCUCCGGCUAACUACGUGCCAGCAGCCGCGGUAAUACGGAGGAUGCGAGCGUUAUCCGGAUUUAUUGGGUUUAAAGGGUGCGUAGGCGGAUCGUUAAGUCAGUGGUCAAAUUGAGGGGCUCAACCCCUUCCCGCCAUUGAAACUGGCGUUCUUGAGUGGAAGAGAA